rfam:Salmo salar isolate Sally breed double haploid chromosome ssa23, whole genome shotgun sequence.
UGCAUUCACUACUGUAAGUCGCUCUGGAUAAGAGUGUAUGCUAAAUGUAUGUAU